CACUGACCUCGGAUCAGGUAGGGAUACCCGCUGAACUUAAGCAUAUC
rnacentral:rRNA from 1 species